GACGAACGCUGGCGGCGUGCUUAACACAUGCAGGUCGAACGGAAAGGCCCUGCUUUUGUGGGGUGCUCGAGUGGCGAACGGGUGAGUAACACGUGAGUAACCUGCCCUUGACUUUGGGAUAACUUCAGGAAACUGGGGCUAAUACCGGAUAGGAGCUCCUGCUGCAUGGUGGGGGUUGGAAAGUUUCGGCGGUUGGGGAUGGACUCGCGGCUUAUCAGCUUGUUGGUGGGGUAGUGGCUUACCAAGGCUUUGACGGGUAGCCGGCCUGAGAGGGUGACCGGCCACAUUGGGACUGAGAUACGGCCCAGACUCCUACGGGAGGCAGCAGUGGGGAAUAUUGCACAAUGGGCGGAAGCCUGAUGCAGCAACGCCGCGUGCGGGAUGACGGCCUUCGGGUUGUAAACCGCUUUCGCCUGUGACGAAGCGUGAGUGACGGUAAUGGGUAAAGAAGCACCGGCCAACUACGUG
rnacentral:rRNA from 1 species